rnacentral:rRNA from 1 species
GGGUACUCGAGCGGCGAACGGGUGAGUAACACGUGAGUAAUCUGCCCUUGGCUUCGGGAUAGCCACCGGAAACGGUGAUUAAUACCGGAUACGACACAUCACUGCAUGGUGCGUGUGUGGAAAGUUUUUUCGGCCAGGGAUGUGCUCGCGGCCUAUCAGCUUGUUGGUGGGGGUAAUGGCCUACCAAGGCUUCGACGGGUAGCCGGCCUGAGAGGGUGACCGGCCACACUGGGACUGAGACACGGCCCAGACUCCUACGGGAGGCAGCAGUGGGGAAUAUUGGACAAUGGGCGGAAGCCUGAUCCAGCAACGCCGCGUGAGGGAUGACGGCCUUCGGGUUGUAAACCUCUUUCAGCACAGACGAAGCGCAAGUGACGGUAUGUGCAGAAGAAGGACCGGCCAACUACGUGCCAGCAGCCGCGGUAAUACGUAGGGUCCGAGCGUUGUCCGGAAUUAUUGGGCGUAAAGGGCUCGUAGGCGGUUUGUCGCGUCGGGAGUGAAAACACCGGGCUUAACUCGGUGCUUGCUUUCGAUACGGGCAGACUAGAGGUAUUCAGGGGAGAACGGAAUUCCUGGUGUAGCGGUGAAAUGCGCAGAUAUCAGGAGGAACACCGGUGGCGAAGGCGGUUCUCUGGGAAUAUCCUGACGCUGAGGAGCGAAAGUGUGGGGAGCGAACAGGAUUAGAUACCCUGGUAGUCCACACCGUAAACGUUGGGCGCUAGGUGUGGGGUCCAUUCCACGGAUUCCGUGCCGCAGCUAACG